GGUGCAACCCACGUUCCUUGCGAGACCCCGGGGCCUCGGCUGCUGCCGCUGGGGACCCAGAGCCCUGGCUGCAGGCGGGGAGGUUUCCUAUCGAGGGAGGAACAUUCCUGCUGCUCCCCGAGAGACUCUCCCAGUGCAGAGACCCCAGCCUGUCCCGCCCCUCCUUACUGGGACCCAGAGCCCUGUUCCCAGGCAGAGCCCCACGUGGAGAGAAGGCUGCAGAAUAAGGGCCACGUUUUCUUCCAGAUCAUCCCAUCUACCUAGGGGCUGGGGAAGAGAAAUGGCUGUGGUGGAUCCAACUCAGAUGCCGGUGACUUUCGAGGAGGUGGCUGUGUAUUUCACCCAGGGGCAGGGGGCUCUACUGGAUCCCGGUCAGAGAGCCCUCUACAGGGACGUCAUGCAGGAGAAUUAUGAGACUGUGACCUCGCUGGGUAGGGAUUUCUUUCCCCGAAGCUAUUUGAAGACCAGGGGCCCUGUAUUUCUGAAUCUGGUCAGGUUCUUCCCCGGUCAGUGAGAUUAGAGGGGAAUGGAUGACACAGUCCAAGUGCAAGAGAGCCAUUUGCCUCCAUACCCCCUCCAACUGGAUAGGGAAGUCAUGAACCUAAUUGACAUAGUAAUUCAUUCCCGUCCCUCCAGCUGUCGCGAGGGGCAGAAGCAGUGUAUUAUGCUAUAUGCAUUAAUACUCACUCACACACAGGAUCUCUGUGCACCUCCCUUCAUGCAACUAACUCUAUGUGUGGGGAGGGCUCUGGUCUCUGUGGGUUCAGACAUAGGCAGGGGUUUAACACUGUUGAGAUGAGUUCCUGUCUGCAUCCUGUAGAACUUGCCAUACCAGUAUUGC